GAGGAACUCAACUGGGCCAACCCCCCGACCUGUGCCCAGCACUCCCAGGCCAAGUGCAGCAGGCAGCUGCAAUUCCAACAGCCACAACAUCAGAUAUCAUCAGCCCUGCGACUACUGUGGCCGCUACUGCUUCUGCCUACCAGCGCGCGAUGAAAGACUGGUCCCUCAGGCGC